AGGCUUGCUCGGGCAUUGUCUCGAUUGUCCGGUCGCACCUCCCUAUUGGUUGGGGCGUCGGUCGGUCGUAGAAUGUCCCUUGCAGCGUUGGGACGGCGCAUGAGUGGCAAUCAGGACAGCUUCCCUCUGCAGGCUCCGUGCUUCGGGCAUCGAACUGUUUUGGCCUGUCCGGUUCAUUUCUUCGCCUCAUCACCCUUGCGGUCGGUCGCGAGUUUUGGGUUGGUUCCUGUGCUCGAUACCAGAUAUUGGUACGAGGAUUCGUUUGGCGGCUCCGUCCAUGAUACAUUUUUCCUCCGUCUCGUCUGCGUAUGUGGUUGUGGUGCGGGACUCGUCACUCUCCGUCCGUGAGGUCGUCCUUUUGAGGUCUUCUCCGCUCGGGUCGGCGUGUCGGUCUCGUCCACUUGCUCUGGGGUAUGGUGCUAUCACUCGUGAUCGUGCGGUCCUUUGCCGGCCGUCGCGUUAUCGAUGUGUCGAAGCUUCCGUGCUUCUGCUCGGGUGACCCUCGUGCUUUCCCAGGGGCUAGCGGAGACUCUUCUCUCCGCGUUUGUUCUUGGGUGGCUUUGAGGUCGAAAACGGUUUGCUACCUGGUUGAUCCUGCCAGUAGUCAU
rnacentral:misc_RNA from 1 species